UACAGGGGGGUGCAAACGUUGCUCGGAAUCAUUGGGCGUAAAGCGCACGUAGGCGGUUCGUUAUGUCGGAUGUGAAAGCCCUUGGCUUAACCGAGGAAGUGCAUCCGAAACUGGCGAGCUAGAGUACGAAAGAGGAUCGCGGAAUUCCCGGUGUAGAGGUGAAAUUCGUAGAUAUCGGGAGGAACACCAGUGGCGAAGGCGGCUACCUGGACCAGCACUGACACUGAGGCACGAAAGCGUGGGGAGCAAACAGG
rnacentral:rRNA from 1 species